rnacentral:rRNA from 1 species
UUAAUAUUAGUUAUGAAAUAUAUUUCAAGAAAUUUUAUAUCUAGUUUUUUACUAAUAAAAGUAUAAUAAAUAGUUUUUAUUAAAAUUAAUAUGGUUUAGCUUAUUAAUAUAAUAUAUUGGCAUAAUUUUAUUUCCUAAGUAAAUUUGAUAGUGUUUAUUUUAUAAAUUUAUAGUAGAGGGUGAUUUGAGUAUAAAUUUCUAUUGGUUAUUGCUUCUACUAAAAAAUUUAAUAGAAUGAUAAAGUUUUAUUUAUAAUGAAAAAAUUAGCAAAAAUUAAUUUAUAUUCUAAGAUUAUUAAUAAUAUGUAGUAAUUAUGGUUAUUAUGAAAAAUGCAAUUAGGCCAAAUAUUUAUUUGACUGUUUAGCAAAAACAUUGUUUCCUGAAAAUUUAUAUGAAAUAAUGUCUGUCCACUGAAAAAUUGAAGGACUGCAGUAUAUUGACUGUAUAAAAGUAGCAUACUCACUAUCUUUUUAAUUUGGGGUUGGUAUGACGGCGAAACGGAUAAGUUCUUUACUCCCUAUAAAUAUUUAAAGUUUAUUUUUCAGUGAAAAAUCUUAAAUUGGUAAGAGGGUCAAGACGACCUUAAUAAGUUUUAUUUUUCUCCUAUUUGUGUUAUAGGAAUAUAUUAUUAGAUAAUAUUAGAUGAAAAAUUUGAUUGGGGCGAUUGGUUAUGAAACAUAAGUUAAUUAUAAUUUUU